rnacentral:rRNA from 1 species
UACGUAGGGGGCAAGCGUUAUCCGGAUUUACUGGGUGUAAAGGGAGCGUAGACGGUUAAGUAAGUCUGAAGUGAAAGCCCGGUGCUCAACGCCGGGACUGCUUUGGAAACUAUUUAACUGGAGUGCAGGAGAGGUAAGUGGAAUUCCUAGUGUAGCGGUGAAAUGCGUAGAUAUUAGGAGGAACACCAGUGGCGAAGGCGGCUUACUGGACUGUAACUGACGUUGAGGCUCGAAAGCGUGGGGAGCAAACAGG